CGUUCCAUAGCUUAAUUGGCUAGAGCGCCGACCCGGUCAGUCGGAGACGCGGGUUCGAUCCCCGCUGGAACGG